rnacentral:tRNA from 1 species
GGAGUGGUAGUUUAGUUGGUUAGAAUACCGGCCUGUCACGCCGGGGGUCGCGGGUUCGAGUCCCGUCCACUCCGCCA